rnacentral:rRNA from 1 species
UGGGGAAUAUUGGACAAUGGGCGGAAGCCUGAUCCAGCCAUGCCGCGUGCGUGAAGAAGGCCUUUUGGUUGUAAAGCACUUUAAGCGAGGAGGAGGCUACUUGGAUUAAUACUCUAGGAUAGUGGACGUUACUCGCAGAAUAAGCACCGGCUAACUCUGUGCCAGCAGCCGCGGUAAUACAGAGGGUGCGAGCGUUAAUCGGAUUUACUGGGCGUAAAGCGUGCGUAGGCGGCUUCUUAAGUCGGAUGUGAAAUCCCUGAGCUUAACUUAGGAAUUGCAUUCGAUACUGGGAAGCUAGAGUAUGGGAGAGGAUGGUAGAAUUCCAGGUGUAGCGGUGAAAUGCGUAGAGAUCUGGAGGAAUACCGAUGGCGAAGGCAGCCAUCUGGCCUAAUACUGACGCUGAGGUACGAAAGCAUGGGGAGCAAACAGG